GAUGAACGCUGGCGGCGUGCUUAACACAUGCAAGUCGAACGAUGAAAGCGGGAGCUUGCUCCUGCUGGAUUAGUGGCGAACGGGUGAGUAACACGUGAGCAAUCUGCCCCGAACUCUGGGAUAAGCGUUGGAAACGACGUCUAAUACCGGAUACGACGCGCGAAGGCAUCUUCUGCGCGUGGAAAGAACUUCGGUUCGGGAUGAGCUCGCGGCCUAUCAGCUAGUUGGUGAGGUAACGGCCCACCAAGGCGACGACGGGUAGCCGGCCUGAGAGGGUGACCGGCCACACUGGGACUGAGACACGGCCCAGACUCCUACGGGAGGCAGCAGUGGGGAAUAUUGCACAAUGGGCGCAAGCCUGAUGCAGCAACGCCGCGUGAGGGACGACGGCCUUCGGGUUGUAAACCUCUUUAAGUAGGGAAGAAGCGAAAGUGACGGUACCUGCAGAAAAAGCACCGGCUAACUACGUGCCAGCCACCGCAGUAAAAC
rnacentral:rRNA from 1 species